GAUGAACGCUGGCGGCGUGCCUAAUACAUGCAAGUCGAGCGAACGGACGAGAAGCUUGCUUUUCUGAUGUUAGCGGCGGACGGGUGAGUAACACGUGGAUAACCUACCUAUAAGACUGGUAUAACUUCGGGAAACCGGAGCUAAUACCGGAUAAUAUUUUGAACCGCAUGGGUCAAAAGUGAAAGACGGUCGUGCGGUCACGUAUAGAUGGAUCCGCGCUGCAUUAGCUAGUUGGUAAGGUAACGGCUUACCAAGGCAACGAUGCAUAGCCGACCGGAGAGGGUGAUAGGCCACCCUGGAACUGAGACACGGUCCAGAGUCCUACGGGAGGCAGCAGUAGGGAAUCUUACGCAAUGGGGGAAAGCAUGACGGAGCAACGCCGCGUGAGUGAUGAAGGUCUUCGGAUCGUAAAAAUCUGUUAUUAGGGAAGAACAUAUGUGUAAGUAACUGUGCACAUCUUGACGGUAACUAAUCAGAAAGCCACGGCUAACUACGUG
rnacentral:rRNA from 1 species